GACAGUCACCAGGUAGACUGGACAGUUUCUUUCCUAAUGGCCUUCGACAUUGCAAUGGAAAUAUUUUUCUUUGUUGUUUGCCUUCUUAGGAACCUGUUUCUUGGGCUUGGCCUCAUUCUUUUGCUUCUUUAUGGGUUUUUCCUUCUUCUUAAAAGAAGACUUUCUUUUGGAGGAAGCCCGCUCCGCAGCUAAAAUUGUACCCCUUGAACUCUUCAAGGUUCCCUCUGUAGUCACCAGCAUAUUCAAUAACUCUGGUAAAGUAGCAUCAAUCUUAUUCAUAUGGUCGUUCAUGAUGAACUGCCCA
rnacentral:lncRNA from 1 species